UAUUAUAAGCAAUUUAUUCACAUCACUCAUCAGCAUGACUAAUCGAUGUUGUGUUCCACAAUGUGAUAGUGUCAGAGUCAGGGGAUCUUGCACCCUGUUUUUGGUACCAUCCAAGCGAUUUUGUUCCGGUGAAAAAUUUAUAUGGGCAGACAAACUUGAAAAAAUUGUAAUGGGUCUGCGGGCUGAUUCUAAUAUCAAAUACCUGUAUUUACGUGACAGAGUAAAAAUUUGUGAAAGGCACUUUGAAGAAAAUGACAUUCAAAAAAUUGGAACACAGUUGCGUCUCCGAAUUGGUGCAAUACCCAAGCUAAACAUGCCCCAAAAAAGUUGUUCGAAGUUGCCAACUUUGAAUAGAUCUUCAAAAGAGAAAAAAGUAGCCGAAAAAAUACAUCAUAAAAAUUUGCAGGACUUGAAAAAAAGUGCAUCAAAUUAUUUACCCUCUAACUGGAAAUACCAGGAUUCAGAUGAUAGUAUUCAACUUUUUCUCAAGCCCAAAUCAGCUGCAGAGCAAUCAAGUUUAGCCAUAAAUAUUGAUUCAGAGUUGCAUAUCAGUGCACUUUAUCAUGGUUGGACUAGUGUUACAUCUGAAGUCCUAAAUAAUAUUGAUAUAAAACACACAACUUUAUCAAAUAUCCUGCAUAUUAUUUAUACAUCAAUCAUUUGUGAGGGUAUAACUGGCAGCAGCAAUUCCAGUUCGACAACAAGUCAACAUUUUGAAGUGUCCUUUUCGAGAACUAAUUCAGAAAAAUUCAAACAAGGGCUUGCUUGCGUUAAGAUCACUAAAUUGUGAAAUAUUUAUUUCAUCUGGGAAAAGAUGCAAACAGUGUUUCAAAGAGGAAAAAAGGACUGUUAAGUCAUCAGAAAGCCAAAAAAAGUAUUUUGAUGCUAUGGGAUGUUGUUGAAAUCUCGGAAAAAAUACCUCCGUUAAGGCUAAGGACAAUGAGUAUCGUAUGUUUCUGUCGAAUCGAUGUGUCAUUUGCAUACUAAUUGUUGUCUAUAAAAUUGUUUUUUAUGUUACAGGCUGAAUAAAUUAGAAGACAGAAUUGAAAAAUUAUUGGCAAAACAGGAAUAUCAUGUUCUCGUUGAUACUGACAUUGCAGAAGAUAUGAAUUUAUCAAUAAAAGGGAAAGUCAAAGAAAAUAUUGUCUACAAUUCAAAAAAAGAUAUGAUGGUUGGCUUCGUUGACUUGGGAGAGUCGAGAAAAAAGUUCCUGCACACAAUGCACUGCAAGUUUAUACAUGUGGUUUGAUUGGAAAGUUUUCAAAGCCCUUAACGUUCUAUGCAACAAAUUUCAUUCGCUCAGACCAUCUCACCAGCAUUUUCUUGGGAAAGUGUCGGAGAACUCCAAGAAUGUGGGUUUAGGGUCAUCGCACUCAUUACAAAUGGACUUGGAGUGCAAACCGUAAAAAGUUCCAUGAAUUAAAUAAUUUGAAGGUUUCCAUACAAAUGUAUCAAUGUGUUCCUCCCUGACCAUUUCAUUUACCUCGUAUUCGACCCUCCUCAUUUACUCAAAACAGUACACAAUAAUGUGUUUGCGAGUCACGCUUGUGGAACUCGCCUAUUAAAAAAGAGGGCAAGUCCCGAUUCUAUAAUCAGUUACUUUUAUCUAUUAUUAUUAUCGUAUAUUGCUGAUUAUGGAGUCGAAAUAAACUUAUAACUAUUCUGUGGGACCAUUUUCGUGCAGUACCAUCCUUCUCUUCGUCUGAAGAGUUAAUGCUUCUGCAAAUUGACAGAAUCCCAUAUGUGCUUACAAAGCUACACAAAAAUACAGCCUAAGUGCUGUCUAGAACUGUUGCAGGAUUGAUGCAGCAGAGAGGUGGACCUGAGAUGCAACAAAGCUCUCGAUUAGCAUCAUCAAUGGAUAAAUGCAGAAAUGGUUUGAUAUUAUGAAUACUAUGCCAAAUUUUGGAUAUAAAAAGUGCUCCACCUCGGAGUCGAUGGAACCACUGUCCAAGAUGUUACAAUGUUUCUGCGUCAAUAUUACAUGAAAUAAAUACGUGAUUUUACUGUCAUACAAGUUGUUUCAAUCUUUCACCUAAUCCCUCGAUAUCCCAACCCUACUUGGAUAUACUGUAUGGGAAAAAACUUGAGAAAUAUUUCAGGCAUCGACUUCCUUACUGCGUGACAUUGGCCAAUCAGCAAGAUGCAAAAAGUGACUUAACAAUGCUCCCUUUUCGCAUCCGCUCAGACACUUUCCUCACUC